rnacentral:lncRNA from 1 species
CAUUCAUCCUUGAGUGUGUGCAAACUUAUUCCUAUGCGGUAUUGAAGUUUUAUGAGCACAUCUCAUAAUUCGAAUACCUGUAUGCGGUUGCAUCCCACAUAGAAGGUUUAUGUGGAAAGCUACCCCGAUGGUAGACCCCACCUCCAUAGAUUCUACUAGUUGCCACUUGAUCAAGAUCAAAUGGUUUACAUUUAGGAUAGGCCCUAAGGUCUGUCAAAUGUCUUCUCCAUACCACA